rnacentral:rRNA from 1 species
AUUGAACGCUGGCGGCAUGCCUUACACAUGCAAGUCGAACGGCAGCACGGGUGCUUGCACCUGGUGGCGAGUGGCGAACGGGUGAGUAAUACAUCGGAACGUACCUUAUCGUGGGGGAUAACGCAGCGAAAGCUGUGCUAAUACCGCAUACGCCCUGAGGGGGAAAGCGGGGGAUCGCAAGACCUCGCGCGAUUAGAGCGGCCGAUGCCUGAUUAGCUUGUUGGUGGGGUAAAAGCCCACCAAGGCGACGAUCAGUAGCUGGUCUGAGAGGACGAACAGCAACACUGGGACGGAGACACGGCCCAGACUCCUACGGGAGGCAGCAGUGGGGAAUUUUGGACAAUGGGGGCAACCCUGAUCCAGCAAUGCCGCGUGAGUGAAGAAGGCCUUCGGGUUGUAAAGCUCUUUUGUCAGGGAAGAAACACCGGCUCUAACACAGUCCGGGAAUGACGGUACCUGAAGAGUAAGCACCGGCUAACUACGUGCCAGCCGCCGCGGUAA